AUUGAACGCUGGCGGCAGGCCUAACACAUGCAAGUCGAACGGUAACAGGAAGCAGCUUGCUGCUUUGCUGACGAGUGGCGGACGGGUGAGUAAUGUCUGGGAAACUGCCUGAUGGAGGGGGAUAACUACUGGAAACGGUAGCUAAUACCGCAUAACGUCGCAAGACCAAAGAGGGGGACCUUAGGGCCUCUUGCCAUCGGAUGUGCCCAGAUGGGAUUAGCUAGUAGGUGGGGUAACGGCUCACCUAGGCGACGAGCCCUAGCUGGUCUGAGAGGAUGACCAGCCACACUGGAACUGAGACACGGUCCAGACUCCUACGGGAGGCAGCAGUGGGGAAUAUUGCACAAUGGGCGCAAGCCUGAUGCAGCCAUGCCGCGUGUAUGAAGAAGGCCUUCGGGUUGUAAAGUACUUUCAGCGGGGAGGAAGGGAGUAAAGUUAAUACCUUUGCUCAUUGACGUUACCCGCAGAAGAAGCACCGGCUAACUCCGUG
rnacentral:rRNA from 1 species